AUGAACGCUGACAGAAUGCUUCACCCAUGCCAGUCGCUGGGGAAGUGGUGCUUGCACCAUGGUAACCAUGGCGGACGGGUGAGUAACGCGUAAGGAACUUACCUGCGGGACCGGGAUAACAGCAGGAAACUGCUGACAAGACCGGAUAAGGUCAUUAAGCUGCAUAGCUUAGUGAUGAAAGGAGACGCCUGCGGAGAGCCUUGCGUCCUAUUAGCUAGUUGGAGGGGUAACGGCCCACCAAGGCGAAGAUAGGUAGCCGGCCUGAGAGGGUGGACGGCCACAAGGGGACUGAGAUACGGCCCUUACUCCUACGGGAGGCAGCAGUGGGGAAUAUUGGACAAUGGGGGCAACCCUGAUCCAGCAAUUCUGUGUGCACGAAGACGGUUUUCGGAUUGUAAAGUGCUUUCAGCAGGGAAGAAGGAAGUGACGGUACCUGCAGAAGAAGCGACGGCUAAAUACGUG
rnacentral:rRNA from 1 species